rnacentral:rRNA from 1 species
UUUAACGAGAGUUUGAUCCUGGCUCAGGAUGAACGCUGGCGGCGUGCUUAACACAUGCAAGUCGAACGAAGCACCUUGGUUUGAUUCUUCGGAUGAAGAUCUUGGUGACUGAGUGGCGGACGGGUGAGUAACGCGUGGGUAACCUGCCUCAUACAGGGGGAUAACAGUUAGAAAUGACUGCUAAUACCGCAUAAGACCACAGCACCGCAUGGUGCAGGGGUAAAAACUCCGGUGGUAUGAGAUGGACCCGCGUCUGAUUAGGUAGUUGGUGGGGUAACGGCCUACCAAGCCGACGAUCAGUAGCCGACCUGAGAGGGUGACCGGCCACAUUGGGACUGAGACACGGCCCAAACUCCUACGGGAGGCAGCAGUGGGGAAUAUUGCACAAUGGGGGAAACCCUGAUGCAGCGACGCCGCGUGAGCGAUGAAGUAUUUCGGUAUGUAAAGCUCUAUCAGCAGGGAAGAAAAUGACGGUACCUGA